rnacentral:rRNA from 1 species
UGGGGAAUUUUGGACAAUGGGCGAAAGCCUGAUCCAGCAAUGCCGCGUGUGUGAAGAAGGCCUUCGGGUUGUAAAGCACUUUUGUCCGGAAAGAAAUCCUUGGCUCUAAUACAGUCGGGGGAUGACGGUACCGGAAGAAUAAGCACCGGCUAACUACGUGCCAGCAGCCGCGGUAAUACGUAGGGUGCAAGCGUUAAUCGGAAUUACUGGGCGUAAAGCGUGCGCAGGCGGUUUGCUAAGACCGAUGUGAAAUCCCCGGGCUCAACCUGGGAACUGCAUUGGUGACUGGCAGGCUAGAGUAUGGCAGAGGGGGGUAGAAUUCCACGUGUAGCAGUGAAAUGCGUAGAGAUGUGGAGGAAUACCGAUGGCGAAGGCAGCCCCCUGGGCCAAUACUGACGCUCAUGCACGAAAGCGUGGGGAGCAAAACAGGAUUAGAUACCCUGGUAGUCCCAUGCCCUAAAACGAUGUCAACUAGUUGUUGGGGAUUCAUUUCCUUAGUAACGUAGCUAACGCGUGAAGUUAACCGCCUGGGGAGUACGGUCGCAAGAUUAAAACUUAAAUGAAUUGACGGGGUCAUAGCUGUUUCCU